rnacentral:rRNA from 1 species
GUGGGGAAUAUUGCACAAUGGGCGCAAGCCUGAUGCAGCAACGCCGCGUGAGGGAUGACGGCCUUCGGGUUGUAAACCUCUUUUAGUAGGGAAGAAGCGAAAGUGACGGUACCUGCAGAAAAAGCACCGGCUAACUACGUGCCAGCAGCCGCGGUAAUACGUAGGGUGCAAGCGUUGUCCGGAAUUAUUGGGCGUAAAGAGCUCGUAGGCGGCUUGUCGCGUCUGCUGUGAAAUCCCGGGGCUCAACCCCGGGCCUGCAGUGGGUACGGGCAGGCUAGAGUGCGGUAGGGGAGAUUGGAAGUCCUGGUGUAGCGGUGGAAUGCGCAGAUAUCAGGAGGAACACCGAUGGCGAAGGCAGAUCUCUGGGCCGCUACUGACGCUGAGGAGCGAAAGCAUGGGGAGCGAACAGGAUUAGAAACCCGUGUAGUCC